rnacentral:rRNA from 1 species
AGAGCAUACGGAGGAUGCCUAAGUACCAAGCGCCGAAGAAGGACGUGGCCAACUGCGAAAAGCUGCGGGGAGCUGUAAGCGAGCUUCGAUCCGCAGAUGUCCGAAUGCGGGAACGCACUGUAUAGUAAUAUGCAGAAUCAUUACAUGAAUUCAUAGUGUAAUGAGGGGAACCCGGUGAACUGAAACAUCUUAGUAACCGGAGGAAAAGAAAGUAAGAACGAUUUCCAAAGUAGCGGCGAGCGAAAGGGAAAGAGCCCAAACCGAUUGUCUACGGACGAACGGGGUUUAGGACAGCGAGAAGGGAAACCUGUGUUAGUCGAAGGCGGCAGGAAAGCCGCACCGAAGAGGGUGAAAGUCCCGUAGAUGAAAACGCAGGGAACCGAGCUGGAUCCAGAGUACCACAGGACACGAGGAAUCCGGUGGGAAGAAGGGGGGACCACCCUCCAAGGCUAAAUACGACUUGGUGACUGAUAGAGAAAAAGUACCGUGAGGGAAAGGUGAAAAGAACCCCGGGAGGGGAGUGAAAGAGAACCUGAAACCGUAUGUUUACAAGCAGUGGAAGCACGAUUGAGUGCGACCGCGUACUUUUUGUAGAACGGACCGGCGAGUUACGUUAACAAGCGAGGUUAAGAUAUGGAGUAUCGGAGCCGCAGCGAAAGCGAGUCUGAAGAGGGCGAAAGUUCGUUAACGUAGACCCGAAACCGUGUGAUCUAUCCAUGGACAGGUUGAAGUAGGAGUAAAAUCUUAUGGAGGACCGAACCACACUGCCGUUGAAAAGGUAGGGGAUGAGCUGUGGAUAGGGGGGAAAUUCCAAACGAACACGGAGAUAGCUGGUUCUCCUCGAAAUAGCUUUAGGGCUAGCCUCGGGGUAGAGAAUAAUGGAGGUAGAGCACUGAAUGAGCUAGGGGGCCACAAAGCUUACCGAACUCUAUCAAACUACGAAUGCCAUAUAUUUAUACCCGGGAGUCAGACGAUGUGAGAUAAGUCUCAUUGUCAAAAGGGAAACAGCCCAGACCUACAGCUAAGGUCCCGAAGUGCAGGUUAAGUGGAGAAGGAUGUGGAAUUGCGAAGACAACCAGGAUGUUGGCUUAGAAGCAGCCACUCAUUUAAAGAGUGCGUAAUAGCUCACUGGUCGAGUGAUUGUGCGCCGAAGAUAUAACGGGGCUAAAACCUGCCACCGAAGCUUAGGAAUGUUAGCAAUAACAUUGGUAGAGGAGCGCUGUAUAGCGGCAGAAGCCGAACCGGAAGGAUCGGUGGACGCUAUACAAGAGAGAAUGCCGGUAUAAGUAGCGAGAGCGGAGUGAGAAUCUCCGCCGUCGAAAGCCAAAGGAUUCCUGAGGAAGGUUCGUCCCCUCAGGGUAAGUCGGGACCUAAGCCGAGGGCGGUAGAGCCGUAGGCGAUGGACAACUGGUAGAUAUUCCAGUACCACCUGACGCGAUAACAUGAAGCAGUGACACAGGAGGAUAGUCAGAGCGCGCGGCUGGAAGAGCGCGUCCAAGCAGAGAGGGAGGAGCUAUGUAGUGAUAGCUUCAAUUCUGGUCUGUGAUGGGGAGUGAAAAUAGUAGCGAAGCUGAUGAAUUCACGCUGGCGAGAAAAGCUGCUAAGAGCGGAAAGGUGCCCGUACCGCAAACCGACACAGGUAGGCGAGGAGAGAAUCCUAAGACGAACGAGAGAACCCUUGUUAAGGAACUCGGCAAAAUUACCUCGUAACUUCGGGAGAAGGGGUGCCCAUUGAAAGAUGGGUCGCAGAGAAAAGGCUCAAGCGACUGUUUAACAAAAACACAGGUCUGUGCGAAUUCGAGAGAAGACGUAUACGGGCUGACGCCUGCCCGGUGCUGGAAGGUUAAGGGGAAUUGUAAGCGCAAGCGAAGCAAAGAACCGAAGCCCCAGUAAACGGCGGCCGUAACUAUAACGGUCCUAAGGUAGCGAAAUUCCUUGUCGGGUAAGUUCCGACCCGCACGAAUGGUGUAACGACUUGUGAGCUGUCUCAACAGGGGGCCCGGUGAAAUUGAAGUAUGGGUGAAGAUGCCCAUUACCCGCGACUGGACGGAAAGACCCCGUAGAGCUUUACUGUAGCCUGAUAUUGGAUUUUGGUAAUGGAUGUACAGGAUAGGUGGGAGGCAUAGAAGCAAGGACGCCAGUCUUUGUGGAGCCGCCGUUGGGAUACCACCCUUUGAUUACCGGGGUUCUAACAGACAGCCGUAAGCCGGCGUUUGGACAGUGUCAGGUGGGCAGUUUGACUGGGGCGGUCGCCUCCGAAAGAGUAACGGAGGCGCCCAAAAGUUCCCUCAGAAUGGUUGGGAAUCAUUCGGAGAGUGCAAAGGCAAAAGGGAGCUUGACUGCGAGAGAGACAUCUCGGGCAGAUACGAAAGUAGGGCUUAGUGAUCCGGCGGCAGAGAGUGGAAUUGCCGUCGCUCAACGGAUAAAAGUUACCUCGGGGAUAACAGGCUGAUCUCCCCCAAGAGUUCACAUCGACGGGGAGGUUUGGCACCUCGAUGUCGGCUCGUCGCAUCCUGGGGCUGAAGCAGGUCCCAAGGGUUUGGCUGUUCGCCAAUUAAAGCGGCACGCGAGCUGGGUUCAGAACGUCGUGAGACAGUUCGGUCCCUAUCCAUCGUGGGCGUAGGAUAUUUGAGAGGAGCUGUUCCUAGUACGAGAGGACCGGAAUGGACGUACCGCUGGUGCAUCAGUUGUCACGCCAGUGGCACAGCUGGGUAGCGAAGUACGGAUUUGAUAAACGCUGAAAGCAUCUAAGCGUGAAACAAACCUCAAGAAGAGAUAUCCCACUUGA